CCUACGGGGGGCUGCAGUGGGGAAUAUUGGACAAUGGGCGCAAGCCUGAUCCAGCCAUGCCGCGUGAGUGAUGAAGUCCCUAGGGUUGUAAAGCUCUUUUGUGCGGGAAGAUAAUGACGGUACCGCAAGAAUAAGCCCCGGCUAACUUCGUGCCAGCAGCCGCGGUAAUACGAAGGGGGCUAGCGUUGCUCGGAAUCACUGGGCGUAAAGGGUGCGUAGGCGGGUCUUUAAGUCAGGGGUGAAAUCCUGGAGCUCAACUCCAGAACUGCCUUUGAUACUGAAGAUCUUGAGUUCGGGAGAGGUGAGUGGAACUGCGAGUGUAGAGGUGAAAUUCGUAGAUAUUCGCAAGAACACCAGUGGCGAAGGCGGCUCACUGGCCCGAUACUGACGCUGAGGCACUAAAGCGUGGGG
rnacentral:rRNA from 1 species